GUCUUUGAGGCAGGUCCAUCUCGUUCAAACUUUUCCUCCCAAGGAAUACUGAAGGACUUCUCUUCUGACUUCAAUCUAACAGGUGGCAACCUAGGGAAUCCUUCUUUCUGACUUUCAGAAACAAAUGAAAAGCCUAGGCCGCUGAAUUCUUUUGGUUCACUUCCUUGUGUCUUCCCAAGAUACAAAGCUCUUCCCACCUCAUCCACUUGUUCUUUUAUUGCUGCCCUAACAUCACUCACCCUUAGAAGCCCCAUGAGUUCCACAUCGAUUGACACAGAACCCAUCAACCGCAACAUCAGAGGCGGUCAAUACAACGUUAAUGGCGUCUCUCUGUUCACCCUUUGAUGCCAAUUGCACGAUUUGCUUCUGGGUUAGUGAUUUUCCUAGAGAAUAAUUUUCGAUGAGAACCUGUUUGCCCAAAUUAAGG
rnacentral:misc_RNA from 1 species